CGUGUAGGCGGGUAGACAAGUCAGAUGUGAAAUACCGGGGCUCAACUCCGGGGCUGCAUUUGAAACUGUAUAUCUUGAGUGUCGGAGAGGAAAGCGGAAUUCCUAGUGUAGCGGUGAAAUGCGUAGAUAUUAGGAGGAACACCAGUGGCGAAGGCGGCUUUCUGGACGAUAACCGACGCUGAGGCGCGAAAGCGUGGGGAGCAAACA
rnacentral:rRNA from 1 species